rnacentral:rRNA from 1 species
CCUACGGGAGGCAGCAGUGGGGAAUAUUGCACAAUGGGGGAAACCCUGAUGCAGCGACGCCGCGUGAGUGAAGAAGUAAUUCGUUAUGUAAAGCUCUAUCAGCAGGGAAGAAAAUGACGGUACCUGAGUAAGCAGCCCCGGCUAACUACGUGCCAGCAGCCGCGGUAAUACGUAGGGGGCAAGCGUUAUCCGGAUUUACUGGGUGGAAAGGGAGCGUAGACGGCAGUGCAAGUCUGGAGUGAAAGGCGGGGGCUCAACCCCCGGACUGCUCUGGAAACUGUACGGCUGGAGUGCAGGAGAGGUAAGUGGAAUUCCUAGUGUAGCGGUGAAAUGCGUAGAUAUUAGGAGGAACACCAGUGGCGAAGGCGGCUUACUGGACUGUAACUGACGUUGAGGCUCGAAAGCGUGGGGAGCAAACAGGAUUAGAUACCCCUGUAGUC